AGCUUUGCAGAGUGGAAGUAUCAUAGCCAAUGAGGUUUAUCCGAUGCGCGAUUAUUGCUUAUUGAAAAAAUUUCCCAAUACCCUGCUGACCUGAAAUACUAUUGUCAGGUUAGGCCAGAUCAGAUCCGUGAAUUGCUGCAGGUAUCACGUAA
rnacentral:snRNA from 1 species